UACGUAGGGCGCGAGCGUUUAUCCGGAAUUAUUGGGCGUAAAGAGCUCGUAGGCGGUUUGUCACGUCUGCUGUGAAAACUGGAGGCUCAACCUCCAGCCUGCAGUGGGUACGGGCAGACUAGAGUGCGGUAGGGGAGAUUGGAAUUCCUGGUGUAGCGGUGGAAUGCGCAGAUAUCAGGAGGAACACCGAUGGCGAAGGCAGAUCUCUGGGCCGUAACUGACGCUGAGGAGCGAAAGCAUGGGGAGCGAACAGG
rnacentral:rRNA from 1 species